GGCCGAUGUGUGGUCAUGUGGAGUAACUCUUUAUGUCAUGUUGGUUGGUGCAUAUCCUUUUGAGGAUCAGGAGGAUCCUAAAAAUUUUAGGAAAACAAUUCAGCGUAUUAUGGCUGUUCAGUACAAAAUUCCAGACUAUGUUCACAUAUCUCAGGAUUGUCGACACCUUCUGUCUCGCAUUUUUGUCCCUAAUCCAUCAAGGAGAAUUUCUCUAAUGGAGAUCAAGAAUCACCCAUGGUUCUUGAAGAACUUGCCAAGAGAACUGACUGAAUCGGCUCAAGCAGCUUAUUACAAGAGAGACAACCCGAGCU
rnacentral:misc_RNA from 1 species